UCUUGAGUAUUUUAGUGGUAAAAUACUGGCCCUACACGCCAGAGACCGGGGUUCGAUUCCCUGCUUGAGAA